rnacentral:rRNA from 1 species
UGGGGAAUAUUGCACAAUGGAGGAAACUCUGAUGCAGCGACGCCGCGUGAACGAUGAAGGCUUUAGGGUCGUAAAGUUCUGUCCUAGGGGACGAUAAUGACGGUACCCUAGGAGGAAGCCCCGGCUAACUACGUGCCAGCAGCCGCGGUAAUACGUAGGGGGCAAGCGUUGUCCGGAUUUAUUGGGCGUAAAGGGUUCGCAGGUGGUCCUUUAAGUCAGAUGUGAAAGAUCACAGCUCAACUGUGGUAAGCAUUUGAAACUGAAGGACUUGAGUUAAGGAGAGGAAAGUGGAAUUCCUAGUGUAGCGGUGAAAUGCGUAGAUAUUAGGAGGAAUACCAGUGGCGAAGGCGACUUUCUGGACUUAUACUGACACUGAGGAACGAAAGCGUGGGGAGCAAACAGG